ensembl:lincRNA
GUAGCUAUGCAGCGAGUCAGCUCUAGCCGGCAAAGAGGUGAGACUCUUCUCAAGCGUAAUAAAUAAAUACAUAAAAUAAAUGCAAGUGAAAAGAAAAGUGGAUUUGGAAGAGUAAAGUAAAUAGCGAACAGCCCGACGAAGUGACGGUAGAUAAGGCAAGACCUGCAAAGGCAGGAAAGUUCUGACUGCCGCCGACAGUACGCCCGACCGCUGGUUCCCCUCUCGGACCUCAGACGCUCUCUAAUCUGUGUGUGCAGGUGGGGACCAGCUAGGGUCUGAGCACGCAAACGGCACCAGGACAAGGACCCGCCCACACUUGUCCGACCGCUUGGUUCCCCUCUCCGGACCUCAGACGGCUCUCUAAUCUGUGUGUGCAGACGGGACCAGCUAGGGUCUGAGCACGCAGACGGCACCAGGACAGGGACCCGCCCACACUUGUCCGACCGCUUGGUUCCCUCUCCGGACCUCAGACGGCUCUCAUGUGGUUGUGCAGACGGACCAGCUAGG